AUUGAACGCUGGCGGCAGGCCUAACACAUGCAAGUCGAGCGGGGUUUUCGGACCUAGCGGCGGACGGGUGAGUAAUGCGUAGGAAGCUACCCGAUAGAGGGGGAUACCAGUUGGAAACGACUGUUAAUACCGCAUAAUGUCUACGGACCAAAGUGUGGGACCUUCGGGCCACAUGCUAUCGGAUGCGCCUACGUGGGAUUAGCUAGUUGGUGAGGUAAUGGCUCACCAAGGCGACGAUCCCUAGCUGGUUUGGGAGGGUGAUCAGCCACACUGGAACUGAGACACGGUCCAGAAUCCUACGGGAGGCAGCAGUGGGGAAUAUUGGACAAUGGGCGCAAGCCUGAUCCAGCCAUGCCGCGUGUGUGAAGAAGGCCUUCGGGUUGUAAAGCGCUUUCAGUAGGGAGGAAGCGUUGUGUGUUAAUAGUACACAGCGUUGACGUUACCUACAGAAGAAGCACCGGCUAACUCUGUGCCAGCCGCCGCAGUAACAC
rnacentral:rRNA from 1 species